rnacentral:rRNA from 1 species
CAGUAGCCGCGGUAAUACGUAGGGUGCAAGCGUUAAUCGGAAUUACUGGGCGUAAAGCGUGCGCAGGCGGUUUUGUAAGACAGAGGUGAAAUCCCCGGGCUCAACCUGGGAACUGCCUUUGUGACUGCAAGGCUAGAGUACGGCAGAGGGGGAUGGAAUUCCGCGUGUAGCAGUGAAAUGCGUAGAUAUGCGGAGGAACACCGAUGGCGAAGGCAGCCCCCUGGGCCAACACUGACGCUCAUGCACGAAAGCGUGGGGAGCAAACAGGAUUAGAUACCCGCGUAGUCCCUGUCUCUUAUAC